UACGUAGGGUGCGAGCGUUAAUCGGAUUUACUGGGCGUAAAGCGUGCGCAGGCGGCCCGUUAAGACAGGUGUGAAAUCCCUGGGCUCAACCUAGGAAUUGCGCUUGUGACUGGCGGGCUCGAGUACGGUAGAGGGGGGUGGAAUUUCCUGUGUAGCGGUGAAAUGCGUAGAUAUAGGAAGGAACACCAGUGGCGAAGGCGACCACCUGGGCCUGUACUGACGCUCAUGCACGAAAGCGUGGGGAGCAAACAGG
rnacentral:rRNA from 1 species